AGACAAUGAAGGGGACGCAGCCUCCCUGUUUCCAUCUUGAACACAACCAGUGACACCCCACAACACGUGGGACCACAAGAAUCAGCAUCAGCCUGCGUCCUGCUGUCAUGUGUAUCUACAAAGAAGGAACAAGACCACGAGAAUGAAUGGCCAUCACCACAGGGCCAGCCCUGACCUCCUGUCCUGUUGUGGGCAGGGCUCGUUAACAAGAGCUCAGGUGUCUGUUCAGGUCAAACGGGCAGCAAACAGUAAUGUCUUGCCAAAAAACGUUGCCAGGUGGCUCAGGGGAUCUGGGUCGUGGGGACACAUCUUGGAAGUUACUGGAGCUCUCCUCAGUGAGGACAGAGACAUCAUGGGGGACAGGCAGGUGUCAGGGUGGGCCCCUCAGCCGUGAGCUGCCCACCAACCUGGGUGGCCAUAGCCUCCUAGUGAGCUGCACCUGGGGAGGAUGGGGCAGCCCGUCCCCAUGGCAUUUCCCCUUGGGGGGCUCCUGCCUCAGUUCUGGGGGGACAAGGGCUGGAUUAAGCACAGCAAUCAAAAGAGAUGAGCUAAUAGACACGUGGGCACAUAAAUGCACCGCAAGGGAAACAGCUGGUCCAAAAUGUCACAUUGCUUUGGCUCCAACUGUAUGACUCCAAUAAAAUGGGGAAACAGUAGACCAUGGAAACAUUAAGGUUGCUGGGGAUUCCGGGAAAAGGGGGAGGUGGACAUCUGUAGAGGGGGACGCCUGGUGUGGUGGACCUACUCCCUAAGCUACUCAUGGUGGCUACUCAAUGCUGUGCUUUUGUCACUAUUUAUAGAAAUACAAAACAAAGAGGUUGAUUAAUGAUGAUCUAUCCACAUCAAUAUUAGUAUAUUGGCCCAGUAAUUGUGACAAAUAUCACAGAAGUGCAAGAUGUAAGUAAUAAGGAGAACCCUGUGGUGGAUAGCCGUAUGGGGACUCUAGAGUAUGUCUGCAUUUUUCUGUCCAGGUAUGUCAUUAAAAAAAAUAAAGUCAAUUAAGUGCAACAUACAGAAUAUGCUCAGGGACUUCUGUGGACUCAGCAUCCCGUCUGCAGAAGGAGCCCUCACCCAGGGCACACAGAUGCUUUUGUACCUGAGUUAAUUAUGCACAGCACCCAGCCUCACCUUUACUGACUUUGCCUUUGAGGUUUUGCUGGUCCUUUUAUACCAGUACGUCCAACAAAUUAAUUUUUAUAUUUUCAUUCCUUUUUAUACAGAAACAUGAAGAAAAGUCCCUAGGAAGGACACCAGUUCCUUAGGUCCCCAAAUUUUUAAACACCCUUCUGUCACCCAAGAAUGAUUAGUAAUUUUCCAGUAAUGUAACUAGUGAUUCCUUAACUAUGGAGGAAAAUGUGUUCCAAGUGAUCCUACACCACUCAGGCUUGAGGAGAAAAA
rnacentral:lncRNA from 1 species